rnacentral:sRNA from 13 species
AGCUGCUGAGCAUGGUCAGUGGUAACUAUUAAUAAUGUCUAAGAUAACGCAUUUUUCGGAUUCUGACGAAUAUGAUGAGGCUAUUAAAACUAGCACAAUGACAAGUCGUCCCAAUCAGCCACAAGUCAUUGCAUCUCAAACAAGGAUGACUAAAGUCAAUAUCCAGAAUGCUCAGAAUGUUGUACAUCGAGGUGUAUUAAAUGUAACAGUGGAUUCCAGCGGUCGAACUAAGAAAACAGUAGUGAAGCCUAAACAACCUAUAACUAGUAAGUGAUUUUAUAAAAUUAUUUAGUAGUUCCUGAUCCAUUCACUUAAGUCAAAGGAUACACAUUUGAGACUCAUUGAAGGGUCUUUUACGACAUGCUCAGAUGCCAAAUAGACAACUUAAGU